rnacentral:rRNA from 1 species
ACGGGAGGCAGCAGUCGGGAAUAUUGCGCAAUGGAGGAAACUCUGACGCAGUGACGCCGCGUAUAGGAUGAAGGAUUUCGGAUUGUAAACUAUUGUCGUUAGGGAAGAUAAAAGACAGUACCUAAGGAGGAAGCUCCGGCUAACUACGUGCCAGCAGCCGCGGUAAUACGUAGGGAGCAAGCGUUAUCCGGAUUUAUUGGGUGUAAAGGGUGCGUAGACGGGAAAUUAAGUUAGUUGUGAAAGCCCUCGGCUUAACUGAGGAACUGCAUCUAAAACUGGUUUUCUUGAGUGCGGGAGAGGCAAGUGGAAUUCCUAGUGUAGCGGUGAAAUGCGUAGAUAUAAGGAAGAACACCAGUGGCGAAGGCGGUCUACUGGACAGUAACUGACGCUGAGGCGCGAAAGCGUGGGGAGCAAACAGGAUUAGAUACCCUGGUA